rnacentral:rRNA from 1 species
GAUGAACGCUGGCGGCGUGCCUAAUACAUGCAAGUAGAACGCUGAAGGAGGAGCUUGCUCUUCUGGAUGAGUUGCGAACGGGUGAGUAACGCGUAGGUAACCUGCCUGGUAGCGGGGGAUAACUAUUGGAAACGAUAGCUAAUACCGCAUGACAACAGUUAUUGCAUGAUAACUGUUUAAAAGGGGCAACUGCUCCACUACCAGAUGGACCUGCGUUGUAUUAGCUAGUUGGUGAGGUAACGGCUCACCAAGGCGACGAUACAUAGCCGACCUGAGAGGGUGAGCGGCCACACUGGGACGGAGACACGGCCCAGACUCCUACGGGAGGCAGCAGUAGGGAAUCUUCGGCAAUGGACGGAAGUCUGACCGAGCAACGCCGCGUGAGGGAAGAAGGGUUUCGGAUCGUAAAGCUCUGUUGUAAGAGAAGAACGAGUGUGAGAGUGGAAAGUUCACACUGUGACGGUAUCUUACCAGAAAGGGACGGCUAACUACGUG